rnacentral:rRNA from 1 species
GUCUAUGGCCAUACCACUCCGAACAUGCGCAGUCUCAUCUCGUCUUGGAAGCUAAGCAAGGUCAGGCCUGGGAAUACUGGAUGCUGUAGGCU